CAAAAUGAAGAAGAAAUUAAACCGACGGCGACCACUCUGGCCUUGUUGUUAAAGGACAUGGAUAUUUUAUUCGGAUAUUAUUACAUCGUUUUAUCGACCAAAACGAGAACACAAACAACGAAAGUUUCUUUGUCUGUAGUGUAGUCUCUUCGCCGAUGUUCCAACGAAAGAAAAAAGAAGCCACCUUGCCACUCUCCACCGCCAUCCCCAACCUUGCGAGGAGGAUUCCAUUAGCCACGAUGUCCUCCAACUUCCUCAGAACUCCGAACAUGCUCCCUCUCAACUUCAGAUCCUUCCUCUUGAUCCUUUCCCUCCUUCUCAACCUCUACCUUCUUCUCUACCGCCGGCACUCCUUUGCCCCUCCCCCAAUUCUAAUCUCACGCGCCACCGCCUCCCCGACCACGCGCUGCCACCUCGUCUUCGCGAUCGCUUCAUCGUCUGUGUCUUGGCCUAAAAGGAGAUCUUAUGUUCGCCUCUGGUAUUCCCCCAAUUCCACUCGAGCAUUUGCUUUCCUGGACGCUCCCGUCGCCAAUGAGUCCUCUAUUUUACCCGAUAUGCCGCCCGUGGUGGUCUCCGCUGACACCUCCAAGUUCCCAUAUACCUUCAAAAGAGGGCUUCGAUCGGCGAUUCGCGUUGCGCGCGUGGUUAAGGAAGUGGUUGAUCGGAAUGAGCCGGAUGUGAGGUGGUAUGUGUUUGGUGAUGAUGACACUGUGUUUUUUGUGGACAAUUUGGUGAAAAGCCUGUCAAAAUACGAUCAUGAUAGGUGGUUCUAUAUAGGGUCCAAUUCAGAGAGCUACGAACAGAAUGUAAAGAACUCCUUUGAGAUGGCAUUUGGUGGGGGCGGUUUCGCCAUUAGCCAUUCUCUUGCCAAGGUCUUAGCUAGGGUUUUGGACUCGUGUUUGAAGAGGUAUGCGCAUUUAUAUGGAAGCGAUGCGAGGAUCUAUUCUUGUGUGUCAGAGCUCGGCGUUGGGUUAACUCACGAAUUUGGGUUCCAUCAGGUAGACUUGAGGGGGAAUUUGUUAGGGCUGUUGGCAGCACAUCCAUUAUCUCCUUUAUUGUCACUUCAUCACUUGGAUAUAGUGGAGCCGCUCUUUCCUAGUAUGAACAAUACACAAGCUUUGGAGCACCUUUUUACAGCUGCAAAUGUUGAUCCUCAGAGGAUCUUGCAACAAGCUGUCUGCUAUGACCGAUCAAACUCGUUGACUUUCUCAGUUUCAUGGGGAUUUGCGAUCCAGGUUUUUCUUGGCAAUGAAUUUCUCCCAGAUCUUCUUUCAGUGCAGAGAACCUUUACACCAUGGAAUAGGGGUAAAAUCACUGAUGCUCAUUUUAUCUUUAACCUGAGAGACUAUCCAAAGGAUCCAUGUAGAAGACCUUCUGUAUUUUUCCUGCAAAGUGUUACAACUACUAGAAAUGGCAUUUGGACCAACUACACUAGACACGUUGUUGGCCACUGUUUUGAAUCAAACCCUACAAAGCAGCUGAAACAGAUAGGAGUUUUUGCAAGGAAGCUAGAGCUUGAUAUUGAACAGAUGAAGGCCCCUCGUCGACAGUGCUGUAAUGUCUUGCCAAAUUCUGGGGAAACAAUGAUCAUUCAUAUUAGACAGUGUGGAAUCAACGAACUGAUCUCCAUGAGAUACUAGCAUUCUUUUUGGGAGUUGCCAUGCUCAGCCUCCAGAUAUUUUGUGACCUGUGAGUCUGGAGGCGUCUGAUCAUCUUGAAGUUAAACUGGUACAAGAAGAAGACCAUUUACUUGAAGACGAAGACCUGAUUAUGGUGAAAGACCUUCUGCCCUAACAAAGUAAUAAACCUCUUGCAACUUGCUACAGCUACCUGGCCUGUUUGCUGCUUGGCUCAUUUCAAUAUACUUUCCAAAUGCUUUAUUUAGCUACAAUUCUUUAGUUUACAGUAUACUUUUCUCACCUGUUUUGGUGCUUGAAACUUGUGAAGAAGCUACAUGUAGUUUGGAGUGUUACGUGUUAAGCCAGUCGAUCGAGGAUCAUUUUUAGAUUUUUUUUUUUUUUUACGGGAAAUUGAUUUUAUUGAGGACUAUGUACGGAAGUUGGCUAUACGGCUGUAUGCAAACUUGUGAUUAGUCUGUGAAGAAAGUGUAUCAUGCAUGACCUUAAAUUAAGCAAAGAAUAAGUUUUAACGCUUU